AGGGUUCGAUCAUGGCUCAGAUUGAACGCUGGCGGCAUGCUUUACACAUGCAAGUCGAACGGCAGCACGGAGAGCUUGCUCUCUGGUGGCGAGUGGCGCACGGGUGAGUAAUACAUCGGAACGUGUCCUGUUGUGGGGGACAACCGGUCGAAAGACCGGCUAAUACCGCAUAAGACCUGAGGGUGAAAGCGGGGGAUCGCAAGACCUCGCGCAAUUGGAGCGGCCGAUGCCCGAUUAGCUAGUUGGUGGGGUAAGAGCUUACCAAGGCGACGAUCGGUAGCUGGUCUGAGAGGACGACCAGCCACACUGGGACUGAGACACGGCCCAG
rnacentral:rRNA from 1 species